rnacentral:tRNA from 11 species
GUGUGGUCUAGUGGUUAGGAUGUCUGGUUUAAAAACAGAAUUCAUCAAAAAAAACCCAGAAGAUCACGAGUUCGAUCCUCGUC